UUUCGAAUUUUCCCGCUUUUUUCCAAUGGGAGAUUUUGCAACCAAUUUUCAAUUCUAACCUAUUUGUUCUUCUUUUGAUUGAGGUUAUUUUUCUCAAUCCCCUGUUCGUCAAUGGCUGCCCCUAGGCACACUGGAAAUUCAGAAGAGGCUAUUGAAGAAUCCGACGGAAUAACCUCCUACUUCAGGGGUUUCAGCCCUCUGUCGCCUCAAUAUCUCAUUGGGUCAUGGUUGACAACGCCCCCUCAGGCACCGCCGGUUUUCCAUCCUGGGACCAAUAUCUCAUUGAAGAAUUGGGAAGACAUGUUGAGUUUCGCCAACAUAGAGAGAUCGAUUCAGCUACGUGGAAACUCGGAAGAGGCUAUUGAAGAAGCCGAGGAGAUGACCUCCUGCUUGUGGGGUUCCGAUCAUCCGUCUGCCCAAUAUCUCAUUGGGUCAUGGUUGACGACUCCCCCUCUGUCGCCCUUCAUGUGGAGUUUCGAUCCUCCCUCUCCCCAAUAUCCCAUCGGGUCAUGGUCGACAACUCCCCCUCAGUCGCCCGGCUUGUGCGGUUUUGAUCCCCCGUCGCCCCAAUAUCCCAUUGGGUCUCGGUCGACAACUUCCCCUCAGUCACCCUACUUGUGGAUUUUCGAUCCUCCGUUGCCCCAAUAUUCCAUUAGGUCAUGGUCCACAACUUCUCCUAACUCGCCCUGCUUGUGGGCUUUCGAUCCCCCGUCGCCCCGAUAUCCCAUUGGUUCUCGGUCGACAACUUCCCUUCAGUCACCCUAUUUGUGGGUUUUCGAUCCCCCAUCACCCCAAUAUCCCAUUCGAUCAUGGUCAACAACUUCUCCUGAGUCACCCUGCUUGUUGUGGGGUUUCGAUCCCUCGUCGCCCCAAUUUCUCACUGGGUGGCAGUCAACAACUCCCCCUCAGUCGCCUCCAGUUUUCCUUCCCUGGUCCGGUUUUCGGCCUUGGAGCAACGCAUUGAGUUUUGCCAACAGAGAGAGAUCGAUGCAGCUGCAACAGCAGCUACUUGAGGAAUGGAGCGAUGUGUUCAACUGUGCCGCAGCAGGAGGGAUACCGCAACUGCAGCAACUUCAGUACUGGAUUGUUGGAUUUUGUCGACAAAGGUACGACUACCAUGAUAAACUGGUGGGAGCAGGGAAGCCGAGGACCCCGCGGCGAAUGGGUGGCCAAAACCCGUGUACGGCCGAAGCGACUGAAGAAGCGGAAGAAGGUGAAGCGGCCAUGCAUCGGCGGCACCUUCAACACCGCCGAGGAGGUCGCAUCGCGUGAUGGAGAGAAAUUCAGGAUGAAGGGAGAGAAGGCUCGGCUCAAUUUCCCCAAACUCUUUCUGAAAAUAGCGGACCCACGCUUGUCCGAUGGGGACUCGGAGUUGACUCAGCAGCUACUUCAGGAAUGGAGGAACAAUGCGUUUGAUUUUGAGGCAAUAGGGAUAUUUGAGCUACUUCAGUACUGGAGCUAUGCGUUGAAUUUCGGCGUAAAAGGUUUACUAAUGACGCUGAACGGGUUGCGAUCCAUAAUGAACUCUCAGGGACACGGCGGUGAAUGUGUGGUCAAAAUUCGUCUACGGCGAAGUCGGCACGGCAACGGUGGUCUAGAUGUAAUCAAGUUGAAGGGAGAGAAGACUCGGCUCAAUUUCCCGAAACUCUUCCUAAGUACACGCGAAAAGGGUGAAGGCAUAAUAAAGAACCCAGGAAUUAAAAUUGAAAUUCCUUUUGAGGAUAUCUUACAAUGUAAGGAAAUGAGGCUAAGGGAUGCUGCGACGAGCCUCAACGUCAGCCCAUCUACAUUGACGCGUGUCUAGCGGGAGUACGGUAUCCACAGAUGGCCAGCUCGCAUCGAAAACAAUCCUAUCAAUCAAUCUGGCUCCAACGAAUCUCCCGCAGUUGUUGAUCAAGAGCGAAUCCCACUAGUGAAUAUUGAUACGUUUCUGCCUUCUAAUCAGGUCUCGGCUGCUGUUCAAAUGAAUAUUGCGACUAUAAAGGCAAGAUACGGAAACGGUAUAACAAUCAAGUUUCAGUUGUCCUUGCCAUGGAAAAUGGUAGAGCUAGAGCAACAAGUGAAAAAAAAGGCUGGAACUUAUCGCAUCAAGUACAAAGAUGAGGAGAAUGAGUUA